AAAAUUCAUUUACACAUAAAAACGUGACAUAUACAGGGUAUAUUGAGAAAAAUACAGGCGCGGUAUAUCAAACAUUCUCAUUUUAUUUUAUUUUUUUUUUUAUCUACAUUGAAAUUAUCGAAAAAUAAGUUGCGCAAUAACGCGGCUCAUUAUAUCGCACAUUGUUACAAAAAAUCAUUUAAAUUAUUAUUUAAUUUCGUCGGAUGUGCUCCUUGUAUCUGGCAAAUUUAUUAUUUGCCAAAAAAGAGAAAAAAUGUAAUACAAAAUUGUUUUUAACAGUUCGAGCAAAUUGUUUUCGCGCAUUUGUAUUUACAAACUUGUAUUUACGCGCGAAUAAGGAAAAAAAAAGAAACAAUGCGCGAAUAAUAAUCAUGCUCUUAUAAGUGUACAAAUGAGUAAUCCAAAAAGUCUAUUUUAAACAAUUAAAAAUAAAAUUUUUGUGCAACGUCAGCUAUUAAAAAUGACACACGAGACGACGUUCAAAGCACGUGUGAGUGAGUGUCCGAAGUGGAACGCAUCUUUUGUUUGGGGAAAGGCCCGUAACAUAACCUUAAAAAGUUCAGUAGUGUUGUCAAAAAAAUGGCAUCAACACGGACGAGGUGCACAUCCGACACUGCAUUUUUUAUUCAAAUUCAAUCAGAGAAAAAAUGCCGCAAAAGCACGCAAAUCGAUUUGUUUUUUUCUCGGGAAAGGUGAAUGUGUGCGCACUUCGAUUUGAAAAGCGGUGAGAUUUCAGUCUGAUCGACAAAAUCAACGAAGAUGAUUCUGACAAACGAUGAUCUCGAGCAACUGCUCGCUUCGGCGAAAAGAGCUUGCGGGAUCAACGCGGCAAAUCAUUUCCAAACGCGAGAGGAAAAAGAAGAAAAAUAGAUUUCGACGCUUUGCGAACCUGAAUGAUGAUAACACCGAAGAGAACGAACCACGAGUAGCCACCAUCUGGAGGUGUCGGCCCGAUCUCAGGUAACGAACUGACAACUUCAUCAAGACGAAGUCGUUCGACGAGCGUCAUGUUUCUUCUUUUUGUUUAAGCGCGACGACGCAAAAC